AACGAACGCUGGCGGCAGGCCUAACACAUGCAAGUCGAGCGGGGACUCCGGUUCUGGCGGCGGACGGGUGAGUAACGCGGGGGACGGUGCCCUUCUCUACGGAAAACUCCUGGGAAACGGGGAGUAAUACCGUAAACGUCCUAUUGGGAAAAGAUUUAUCGGAAUAGGAUCAGCCCGGGUUGGAUUAGGCAGUUGGGAGGGUAAUGGCCUACCAAGCAGACGAUCCAUAGCUGGUUUGAGAGGAUGAUCAGCCACACUGGGACUGAGACACGGCCCAGACUCCUACGGGAGGCAGCAGUGGGGAAUCUUGGACAAUGGGGGCAACCCUGAUCUAGCCAUGCCGCGUGAGUGAUGAAGGCCUUAGGGUUGUAAAGCUCUUUCAGCUGGGAAGAUAAUGACGGUACCAGCAGAAUAAGCCCCGGCUAACUCCGUG
rnacentral:rRNA from 1 species